rnacentral:misc_RNA from 1 species
CCUCACAGUCGCACACUUCGGAAAUUCCUUUACUGCUAUGUGUACAAGACACUCAUAAUGAACUCAUAAGUUCAUUAUUGUUGCUUGUUUUUAGUUUGUGUUGGUGACAAAAACCUUUAGAUAUAACGUCAUCAAAUCGCAACGACUUCUAUCAUCAAGAUACGUGAGGAAUUUUAGAGGAAAUUUGAUACCGAACCGGUUUAGAUAUUUUCUACUCAAUGUUCCGACUGUGACCAGAAUAAAUAUUUUUAGUAAAAUAAUAUAAGAAUAAAUGAGAAUAUUUAGCAGUAGAAAAGAAUACAUAUCAUCGAGAAACAUGACGGCCUUAAGCAUCAGAUCAAGUCUUAGACUAUUAUGGACGGUGGUAGCGGCUAUGGUCUUCCUAACUAGAAUCAGUGCGGCGCCUGCGUUCGAGGGUGGUAUCAGCCAGGCUACGAUGUACCUGGAUAAAUUUGGAUACUUAAGUCCCAAAAUUAGAAAUCCUACAAGUGGGCAUAUCAUUGAUGAGAGCUUAUUCCGGAAAGCAGUUGCUGAGUUUCAAAGUUUUGCUGGCCUGAACACGACAGGCGACUUAGAUGAAGAGACUAAAAAAAUGAUGGCUAUGCCUAGGUGUGGUGUAAGAGAUAAAGUUGGUUUUGGUGAAAGUCGUGCUAAGAGAUAUGCUCUACAAGGCUCAAGAUGGCGUAUUAAGAACCUCACUUACAGGAUAGCCAAGUACCCUUCAAGACUGAACCACGCUGAUGUGGACUUGGAACUCGCUAAAGCCUUUUCCGUGUGGUCUGACUAUACCGAUCUCACUUUCACACAGAAACGCUCUGGUCAAGUCCACAUUGAGAUAAGAUUCGAGACUGGAGAGCAUGGGGACGGUGAUCCAUUCGACGGCCCUGGAGGCACUUUGGCCCACGCUUAUUUCCCUGUAUACGGAGGUGAUGCUCACUUUGACGAUGCUGAGACAUGGACCAUCAACUCCAAAAGAGGAACAAAUUUAUUUCAGGUUGCUGCUCACGAAUUCGGUCAUUCCUUGGGUCUGUCCCAUAGUGACGUCCGCUCAGCGCUCAUGGCUCCCUUCUACAGAGGAUACGACCCCGCCUUCCAGCUCGACCAGGAUGACAUCCAGGGUAUUCAGGCGCUGUAUGGCCGUAAGACCCAAACUGACAUCGGCGGCGGGGCUGCGCCUGCGCCGGCACCAAACACGCCACGGCCCUCCGCAGAGGACCCUGCGCUCUGUGCGGAUCCCAAGUUCGACACCAUCUUCAAUGGUGCCGACGGAUCCACCUUCAUAUUCAAGGGAGAAAAUUACUGGCGACUGACUGAAGAUGGAGUGGCAUCAGGCUACCCUCGCUUGAUUUCCCGCGCUUGGCCCGGCUUGCCUGGUAACAUCGACGCUGCUUUCACAUACAAGAAUGGCAAAACUUACUUCUUCAAGGGCUCUAAGUACUGGAGGUACAAUGGACAGAAAAUGGAUGGAGACUACCCUAAAGAUAUAAGUGAAGGAUUUAGUGGCAUUCCUGACAAUUUAGACGCUGCCUUGGUUUGGUCAGGCAAUGGCAAGAUUUACUUCUAUAAAGGCUCCAAAUUCUGGAGGUUCGACCCGACCAAGCGACCCCCGGUUAAGGCCACCUACCCUAAGCCCGUCUCUAACUGGGAGGGCAUUCCUGACAAUAUUGAUGCUGCCUUACAAUAUACUAAUGGAUAUACAUAUUUCUUUAAAGGAGGUUCCUAUUGGAGGUUUAAUGACAGAUCAUUUAGUGUUGACACAGAUAAUCCAGCUUUCCCGCGGUCCACCGCAUUCUGGUGGCUGGGCUGCAGCAGCGCGCCGCGCGGUACUGUUGGAGGUAACUCGAAAUACGCCGCCUACACCAACUCGCCCGACGAAGACGAUGUCGGCGAUAUCAUAUUCGACGCAGUGGUCAGCCAUCAGUCAGGCGGGGCUAGACUGUAGUAUGGGUUGAGUCGUGGCUUCGAGCCGCAGCGUUACUUUAGGAGGCAAACAGCCUCCGCCGUGACAACACUCACCCACAUCUAUGGGGAGGAAGCGACGGGCGGGAGAGAAAGCGGAGCGGGUGCGACGCGGCUCUCUCUGGGUGUGAUGUUGGGAACAUCGCUGAUAGCAACG